UCUUUCAGGGAUUUUUUGUGUUUC
rnacentral:piRNA from 1 species